AAAGUUACCGACGAUCGUACGGUCACUAUUCUCCGGCGAUGUCUCUCCUCACUCCUCCACCGAUAGAUAUACUAAACAUCAGUUUAAUGCAAGUGAGGCUGACUGGGGCUGCACAUCAUUCAUGCCUCUUACUGAACUAAAUGAUCCCGGAAGAGGUUAUCUUGUGGAUGAUAAAGUCACAGUUGAAGCUUAUAUUGUCAUGCCUAAAAGUCAUUGAUUGCUGAAAGUUUUAAGUCACUGAUAGAUAGGCUAGGAGUACCAUCGCUCGGGCAUAGUUAUCGGGAGCAGAAUGGGGUAGCGGACUUGCUUGCGAAGGAAGAGCUUGAAAACAACUUAUUUGAUCAUUUUGUGUAUAUGCUAGUUCCUCCAGUGUCUGCUAUGGAAGCUUUAUUAGCUGAAGCAAACAAAUUAGCACCACUUUUGUGAGGCAGUUAUCGGAUAAUCCUACUACUUGAGUUUAUAACUGCUUCGUAUGAACUAUUGGUAUUUGGUCCACAGUGACCCCUUGUUUUGUUA